UAGAGUUUGAUCCUGGCUCAGGAUGAACGCUGGCGGCGUGCCUAAUACAUGCAAGUCGAACGGGUGUAGCAAUACACUAGUGGCGAACGGGUGAGUAACACGUUGGUGACCUGCCCUAAAGAGGGGAAUACCACUUCGAAAGGAGUGACAAAACCGCAUAAGCUGAUGCUAGUUAGAGAGGCAUUAGUAAAAGAGCAAUCUACUUUAGGAGGGGCCUGCGGCCCAUCAGCUAGUUGGUGAGGUAAAAGCCCACCAAGGCGAAGACGGGUAGGGGACCUGAGAGGGUGAUCCCCCACAAUGGAACUGAAACACGGUCCAUACACCUGCGGGUGGCAGCAGUAGGGAAUAUUGCUUAAUGGGCGAAAGCCUGAAGCAGCAACGCCGCGUGAACGAAGAAGGCCUUCGGGUCGUAAAGUUCUUUUACGUGGGAUGAGGAAGGACAGUACCACGAGAAUAAGUCUCGGCUAACUACGUGCCAGCAGCCGCGGUAAAACGUAGGAGACGAGCGUUAUCCGGAUUUACUGGGCGUAAAGCGCGUGUAGGAGGCGCUACAAGUUGGAUGUGAAAGCUCCCGGCUUAACUGGGAGAGGUCCUUCAAGACUGUAGAGCUAGAGUGAGGCAGAGGUAGAUGGAACUCCGGGAGUAGUGGUGAAAUGCCUAGAUAUCCCGGAAGAACACCAGAGGCGAAAAGCGAUCUACUGGACCUAAACUGACACUGAGACGCGAAAGCCAGGGUAGCAAACGGGAUUAGAGACCCCGGUAGUCCUGGCCGUAAACGAUGUAGACUGAGCGUUGGUUGGAUAAAACCGAUCAGUGCUGAAGCAAACGCGAUAAGUCUACCGCCUGGGGAGUACGGUCGCAAGAUUAAAACUCAAAGGAAUUGACGGGGGCCCGCACAAGCAGCGGAGCGUGUGGUUUAAUUCGAUGAUACACGAAGAACCUUACCAGGGUUUGACAUACAAGUGGUAGAGAAGCGAAAGCAGAUCGACCCUUCGGGGAGCUUGAACAGGUGCUGCAUGGCUGUCGUCAGCUCGUGUCGUGAGAUGUUCGGUUAAGUCCGCUAACGAGCGCAACCCUUGUUGUGUGUUACACGUAUCACGCAAGACCGCCGGUAGAAAGCCGGAGGAAGGUGGGGAUGACGUCAAGUCAGCAUGGCCUAUAUAUCCUGGGCUACACACACGCUACAAUGGUCGGUACAAUGGGUCGCUAAGCCGCGAGGCGGAGCCAAUCCUAAAAAGCCGGCCUCAGUUCAGAUUGCAGGCUGCAACUCGCCUGCAUGAAGAUGGAGUUGCUAGUAACCGCAGGUCAGCGAUACUGCGGUGAAUACGUUCCCGGGCCA
rnacentral:rRNA from 1 species